CAUUGAGGUGAAGUGACUUGCCCAAAGCUUACACAGAUAGAAAACGUCCAAGGUCAGAUUUUAACCCAGGACCGCCCAUCUCCAGAUCUGUCUCUCUAUCCAUUGAGCAACCUAUUGCCCUUCUCUCUCCCUCAUCCCACCCCUAUUAAUACCUUUGUAGGGAAAGCAGUGAUUUCACUGCUGGUAAGAAACAGGACAAAUAUCCACAGAUUGUAUGGACUUAAGUUAAUGACCAGGAGUAGGAAGAAAAAUGAAAGGAAGCUUCUCACCCUAAGAGAGGGUAAUUUACUACCUAAUAUCACCUAAUUUAAACUCUAGCUACUUAGGCAGAAGAAAAGCAGUUAAAAAGACAGGUUUCAUGUUCCUGGAUUUCUCUAAGUAACAGUAAACUGUGGGGUCUGAGUCAUAAAAGAACAAUAGACCAUGCACUCAACUAAAAAAAGCUGAGACUGUUCCCCCACCAGAUAAGGCCACAUAGCAACUACUAUUUGGCAAAGAACCAUGGACAAAGAAAGCUACCAGUAGAUGUCACAAUAACAAAAAGAAUAGACUGACUGAAAAUUCCAGCAUUUUGAGGCAAUGAAGAAAGCAACACAUACCUUGAUGACAUUGCCAGACCAACCAGCUGACCUUGCUGGCUAGAGAGGAAGCAUGCUGCUGCAGCACUGGACCAGGAGAGCUUCCAACAGGGAGGCAGCCUGAAGGGCAUCUAGCCUGAGGGCUCUUCCACCAACAAUGGGAGAACAGACUUUUCAUCUGGUGGUGGUGUUAACUCCGUUUCACCUUUGCCAUGGAUGUCGAGAGGAAGAGAGAAUAAACAAUGAGGUAAACCUGGCAUCAAAUAAUAAUUAACAAUAACAAUAAUACAAAUGAGAAAAAAAGAGGCCAAGUCAACUGAUGGUGAUCUGAUUCACCUCCAAACCAGUCAGUUGGAUGUGAAAAUAUUGUGUGUGUUUGGCAUCCAUUUGAGACCCGCAAGAGAAAUCCCAAUCUCAAGGAGAAUGUGAAGCAAAACCAAAUAAGACGGAGCUGAAAAGCAGUGAGGAGAUGGAAGUGAGCCUCAUUCGUGAAGGCUAGGACUGUGGGUAGGAAGGAGGCGGACUUUGAUGUGGUUGCUAUUGUUGGCUUGUAUUUAAAUACUUGAUAACUUGUGA